rnacentral:rRNA from 1 species
AGUCACUGACAUUAGAUACCCGCCGUAGUCCCAGCCGUAAACUAUGCGCGUUAGGUGUACUGGUGACCACGAGUCACCGGGGUGCCGAAGGGAAACCGUGAAACGUGCCGCCUGGGGAGUACGUCCGCAAGGAUGAAACUUAAAGGAAUUGGCGGGGGAGCACCGCAACGGGAGGAGCGUGCGGUUUAAUUGGAUUCAACACCGUAAAACUCACCAGGGAAGACUGUUACAUGAAAGCCGAGAUGAAGACUCUGCUAGAUUUUCAG